rnacentral:lncRNA from 1 species
CUCUUAUUCACUGCUCAACUUUCCAUGUCUACUAGCAUGCUGCUUACAUAGUAAAUGAUCAGUCCGCGACAACCUUGGGUCUGGAAUCGCAAUGGUCAGCCACGUUGUCCCCAGAGUUUAGAGAUAGAUAUGCUCACAAAAAUUGCAGCCGUACUCAAUAAGAUUCUUGACCCCCUUGAAGGCAAGGACCACAUCUGACUUAUCUUCACAUCCUCCAUACCCUCAGCACUGAGCACAAAGUAAGUGGUUCACAAAUAUUUGCUAAAUGAAUGAAAAAACACAUCUAAAAUAGACCUUUCAACUUUAUCAACUCAAAGCAGGAGGAGUCAACAGUGACCGCAGGAGGCUCUUUGGACAAUAACUUUUCUGUCUUGGCAAAGCUCUUCAAUGCUAACAAAUUGACUUAAUAGU